rnacentral:rRNA from 1 species
GACGAACGCUGGCGGCGUGCUUAACACAUGCAAGUCGAACGGAAAGGCCCUGCUUUUGUGGGGUGCUCGAGUGGCGAACGGGUGAGUAACACGUGAGUAACCUGCCCUUGACUUUGGGAUAACUUCAGGAAACUGGGGCUAAUACCGGAUAGGAGCUCCUGCUGCAUGGUGGGGGUUGGAAAGUUUCGGCGGUUGGGGAUGGACUCGCGGCUUAUCAGCUUGUUGGUGGGGUAGUGGCUUACCAAGGCUUUGACGGGUAGCCGGCCUGAGAGGGUGACCGGCCACAUUGGGACUGAGAUACGGCCCAGACUCCUACGGGAGGCAGCAGUGGGGAAUAUUGCACAACGGGCGGAAGCCUGAUGCAGCAACGCCGCGUGCGGGAUGACGGCCUUCGGGUUGUAAACCGAUUUCGCCUGUGACGAAGCGUGAGUGACGGUAAUGGGUAAAGAAGCACCGGCUAACUACGU